GAUGAACGCUGGCGGCGUGCCUAAUACAUGCAAGUCGAGCGAACAGACGAGGAGCUUGCUCCUCUGACGUUAGCGGCGGACGGGUGAGUAACACGUGGAUAACCUACCUAUAAGACUGGGAUAACUUCGGGAAACCGGAGCUAAUACCGGAUAAUAUAUUGAACCGCAUGGUUCAAUAGUGAAAGACGGUUUUGCUGUCACUUAUAGAUGGAUCCGCGCCGCAUUAGCUAGUUGGUAAGGUAACGGCUUACCAAGGCGACGAUGCGUAGACGACCGGAGAGGGGGAUCGGCCACACUGGAACUGGAACACGGUCCAGACUCCUGCGGGAGGCAGCAGUAGGGAAUCUUCCGCAAUGGGCGAAAGCCUGACGGAGCAACGCCGCGUGAGUGAUGAAGGUCUUCGGAUCGUAAAACUCUGUUAUUAGGGAAGAACAAAUGUGUAAGUAACUAUGCACGUCUUGACGGUACCUAAUCAGAAAGCCACGGCUAACUACGUG
rnacentral:rRNA from 1 species